UCCUACGGGAGGCAGCAGUGAGGAAUAUUGGUCAAUGGACGAGAGUCUGAACCAGCCAAGUCGCGUGAAGGAUGAAGGUUCUAUGGAUUGUAAACUUCUUUUGUCCGAGGGUAAAGGAGGCUACGUGUAGCUUUUUGCAAGUAUCGGACGAAUAAGCAUCGGCUAACUCCGUGCCAGCAGCCGCGGUAAUACGGAGGAUGCGAGCGUUAUCCGGAUUUAUUGGGUUUAAAGGGUGCGCAGGCGGAUUUUUAAGUCUGUGGUGAAAGCGUGCGGCUCAACCGUACCAAGCCAUGGAAACUGGAGAUCUUGAGUGCAAACGAGGUAGGCGGAAUGUGAUGUGUAGCGGUGAAAUGCUUAGAUAUGUCACAGAACCCCGAUUGCGAAGGCAGCUUACCAGCAUGCAACUGACGCUCAGGCACGAAAGCGUGGGUAUCAAACAGGAUUAGAUACCCUGGUAGUCC
rnacentral:rRNA from 1 species